UGCUAUAAUUGUCAGCUAAGUGGCGCACGGGUGAGUAAUGUAUAGAUAACCUGCCCUUAAGAAAGGAAUAACAGUUGGAAACGACUGCUAAUGCCCUAUAUGCCUUUAAUACAUAAGUAUGCAAGGGAAACGCUUUAGUGCUUAAGGAUGGGUCUGUAUGGUAUCAGCUUGUUGGUGAGGUAAUGGCUCACCAAGGCUAUGACGCCUAACUGGUUUGAGAGGAUGAUCAGUCACACUGGAACUGAGACACGGUCCAGACUCCUACGGGAGGCAGCAGUGGGGAAUAUUGCACAAUGGACGAAAGUCUGAUGCAGCAACGCCGCGUGGAGGAUGACACAUUUCGGUGCGUAAACUCCUUUUAUAUAGGAAGAUAAUGACGGUACUAUAUGAAUAAGCACCGGCUAACUCCGUGCCAGCAGCCGCGGUAAUACGGAGGGUGCAAGCGUUACUCGGAAUCACUGGGCGUAAAGAGCGUGUAGGCGGGUAUAUAAGUCAGAAGUGAAAUCCAAUAGCUCAACUAUUGAACUGCUUUUGAAACUGUAUACCUAGAAUGUGGGAGAGGUAGAUGGAAUUUCUGGUGUAGGGGUAAAAUCCGUAGAGAUCAGAAGGAAUACCGAUUGCGAAGGCGACCUACUGGAACAUUAUUGACGCUGAGACGCGAAAGCGUGGGGAGCAAACAGGAUUAGAUACCCUGGUAGUCCACGCCCUAAACGAUGUACACUAGUUGUUGUGAGGCUCGACCUUGCAGUAAUGCAGUUAACACAUUAAGUGUACCGCCUGGGGAGUACGGUCGCAAGAUU
rnacentral:rRNA from 1 species